GGAAAAACACCACCAACUUGAAGCGACAUUUACAGACGACUCAUCCAGAAAUACAUGCGAAGGCUCAACGGAGGAGUUGGGAAGUUUGUUUGUGACAUCGGGAUCAAAUUAGGGAGGUGUGGACGCAGUGCUGAGGGGUAUUGUCUGAAAUUCUCUGAUAGUCAGUCUACUUCAUGUCUGGUGGCAUCCCUUCCACCAGUGUUCUUCGCUUCUUCUGUCUCUUGGGCCUAUCCUGCAGUCAGCCAGCCCACACUUCAGUAUCAUUUAAUGCCAAUCCGUCCCCAUCAAUUGAUACAGAGAAUUUGAUCACUGAGAAGCUUCCUAAUGUUGCUGGCACAGUACCCUGUAUCUGACCAUAUCAAACAUCAGCAUUUUUAGUGUGGAUGGAAAGCCAACAAUGUAGUGGAGUGAAGGUAUUUGCAGACCCCAAAACUCAUACUUGUCUCACAAUCCUCAAUCCAAAACAACUCGUUUUAUUCUUUUCUAAUAUGAAAACCUCCAGUAGAGCAUGUUGUGUUACCCAGAUGUCCAUCUGUUUGUAGCGCUGCACUGACGGUGAUGUGAAGUCUGUUAACACCCAUCACACACUUCAGUGUGAGCACUCUUCAGAAAAUGACUGGCUGCCCUUCUGCCCACUCAAACUGUCAGCUGUAAUGACAUUUAACCAUCCAGCUGAAUGGGCCUGUCGGUGUGUGUGUGUGUGUGUGUGUCUCCAUGCAGGUGCAUGUGUGUAUUAUCAGUUUGUGGAUACAGUGGCAGUAUUUUCAAAUAUUUAUAACAUGUACUAAGUCUAUUCUUACAUCUUGGAACAUAUAUUAAGUGGUUCUUGACCUUUCAGGCUGGUAAAAAUGAAACCAGCAGCCCAUUCAUGUCCUUUUUUAUUGUGUGAAGCAUAUUGUAUCUUUCAUCCUUUUUAUUGUUACUUGACAUUUGGCUGUUUCACUCUUGAGAGGUCAAGUCAUAAGUGGCCUCAGUGUUCACUGUGAAGGUCGGAGCCACUGAAAAGAUUUUAUCCCUUUCUAUUCAACUCUUUUUCUCAUCAAAACUUUGUGAUACAAUUACGCCAAAAAUACAGCCAAUGCAGCUGCUAUCAAUCAAUUGUGCUGUUUGGUCCAACAGUAUCUGAGGUCUGUAAAGGGGCCACUCUUAGUCCUAUUGACUGCACCAAUGAAAAAGGCACUGUAGCAUGUAAAUAAUGGGAGUCAGUUUGUUUGUGUGUGUGUGUGUGUGUGUGUGUGUGUUUGUGUUUGUAACCAUCUAAGAAUGUUAAAUAUACACACUUUAACAUUACUUUAUUUAAGUUAACCUUGUAAAAAAAAAAAAAGGUGAAAAGGUGGAUGAAGAGUUGUGGUCAAGAGGCGCUGUAGAGACUGAUAGAAGCCCUGCUUUGAAAUCUAGAUUCAUUAUAAGAUACAACUCUUUUCCUUGUGGUCAUUUGCCAUUUUGGGCAGUUUUUUUUAUUGUCAUUAUUACUUCUCAGCUUUAUGACAGUCCUUCAAACAGUUUAAAUGAAACAUGUAAAGGUCCAGUGUGUAGGAUUUAGUGGCAUCUAGCAGUGUAGUUGUGCAACUCCAUCGCUUCACCCUCUCCUUUCAGGCACAAAGGAGAAACUAUGGUGGCCAUUCUGGUCUAUGUUAGAAACAUAGCAGUGCAACAUGGCAAACUCCAUGGAAGGCAUCCUGCAGCAUCUGUAGAUAUAAACGGCUCAUAAUUGUAAUAAGAGGAUAACAAUUCCUAUAGUCAGGUGAUUUUACACUAAUGAAAACUGCCAUUAGAUCCUCCUAAAUGUUACACACUGGACCUUUAAAAGAUUCAGGAAACAAACAAGUGGUAUCAUUUAACAACAUAUACUGGUUAUUUUAUCUCAACAUGCACAUGACCAGACUAAAACAUACUUGGUCUGAUCAAGUGUAGAUCCAAAUCAAGUCAUCACAAUCCGAUCUCCUAAAGAUAACAUUUAUAUAGACAGAGAUCAGGGUUUUUUAUCAACAUGAGGAAACUUUUUUAAAUCAACAUAUUAACAAAACCGACAACAUAGUCGUCUUUAUUUGAAAAUCUGGUAAUGGAAACUACUGUAUAAGUGUUGUUGCUCAUGUUAAGCUUGCUCAAAGCACUUAUAGGGAAAGAUCGUCAUCUUGGUUGCUACGAACUAUGAUCCUUUUCUCGUUCAGUAAUACAUAAACCUGAUUUUUAGGAGACUGGGUUAAUAAUUAGCCCAGGAAUCACAAUGUUUGUCCACCCCUUCAGCGAACACAUUUCAGGAGCUCUUUGUUCAUGGAGUAAUAUUCAUGAUGAUGAAGGUUGUUGAAGUUGCUUUGGAUAGACACCUGCAGUGCAGAGUAUUCUUUUAUGACACCAUUAACAUAAUGCUGGUCAUUAAUAUGGAAGACUCCAAGACGCAUGUAACAAGCAAUAAAUCAAAAAACGACCUUGAGAGGUUGAGCUGUUGAGAGUCUUCAGAAGACUUCACAGGGUCUGAGCUGGCUACCUGAAGCUUUUUUACCUUUUGGAUUUCAUCUUGUUGCACAACAUCAAAAUGCUCCUGUUUGUGAAUUGCUUCUCAAUUACUUCUUAAUAAAUAUAUUUCCUUUGAGGCUUUAUUAUUUGGUUUGGAGCUAUUUAAAUUUCAACUAAAGGGUACAAUAAACUCUUUAAUUAGUCUCUCUACAGUUCACAUAAACUCCUAAAUAUUAAAUAUCAAACUAGAUGAAGGCUGGAGCUUUAAUCUGUGAUGUUUUAAGGGCAGUAUCUGAAGACUUUUUUUUUUUUGCUCAUUGAUCCAAACAUCCCAUAGCAUGACAUCACUUCUAUCAUCACUUUGUAACUUUGUAAAAUUGAUUGAGAUUGUGGUUCAAACUUUCUGACCUGUUCAAUGUCACGGGAACAGCAUGCAUGAAUUACACUUGAUAAGAACUGAUCCUGGAAUCUGAUGAUUAAAUUCAAGCUGAUCUUUGGUGAUUUGACCUCAUAAAAUAGUUUAAAAAAAACCACAAAGCCCAAGGCCAACAGUUAAACGGGACAGGUAAGAACCAAAUUCAGUCUUUAUUUUUUUUACCACUGCCAUUUGCAGUUUCUCAUUCCCUGUAGAUUUUUAACAUUUCCCCCUGACCUUUACAAAAUGACCAGGAAAUGGGAGGUGUAUUCAUUUCCCUUUUCUCAUUGUUGCUUCUUCCUCCAAAUUAUCAUUUGACCUUCACUGCUGUCCGAUUUCCUCGCCACAGCUCGGCAAGGAUGCUCGAUUGCAGUCGACACACAUAAAGUUGAAAAACUGGACUCUAAGUAUUUAGUCUGAAAAUGUGAAUAACAAAUAGAAUGACUGUCGUUCUCAAAAAAUGUCUUAAUGGGAAAAAUAAAUAAAUACUAUAUCUAGAAUACCUUGCUAGCAUUAUCAUCAGUUAUCAGUUAAAGUAUCACACUUUCUCUCAGUAGUAUAAGUUGUUCUUUGGAUGAACAUAACUCAAAAAUGAAUCGUUAGAGCACUAAAAUUUGUGCAGUAUUUUAAGCAUUGGUGAUAUAAUUCCAGUUUGUUCCAUUGACUUAUUUCAUUGAGGUUGACCUGAAACAUUUUUUUUGACAGGUAAUGUAAUAAUUUGCUUUAGAGGAAGAAAACUGAGUAAAUUCAACUUAAGUGGUAACAUUUGUAUAUAGAAGAUUCAUUAAAGGCAGUUUUACUUUAUUUAGAUAAAUAACACAUCUUAAAUAAGUUUGGAGAAAUGCUGUGUACUAGUUUUAAGUUCAGUUAACUCACUAAAAUUGGUACAAUUGACUUUACCCAAGUUAUCUAACAAAUACUUAAAUUACUUGUACUCAAAUCAAAUAUUUUUACAUGCUUAAAUUGUAAAAUGUUUUAAUGAUUUAAGGCAAUCAGUUUCCUUAAACAAUUUGAGUUAGACUAACCAGGUUUUACUGUGCAUAUUCUACAUUUCUUCAACGGUUGCUCUGUUAUGUCUACGCAUUGUACGGUUAUGUUCAGUGAUAACACUGUCUGGGCUGUUGGUGUGGCACAAAAAAAAAGAAAGACAGUUACAUUUGUAUAUAUUUUUGGCUGAGAUGUUUACAUGUUGUUAUAAAGAGGAACUCCAUGCUGUUGGGUGUGGUCUCUCAUAUUCAUAACCACACUGUAACUGUAAAAUAUAAGCUCUGUACUGCACAGUGGGUGUGGACAGAGCAAGCAGCAACCAUGAAACGACAGAACAAGCAGGAUUAUCAUUAUGAGCCUGGGUGUGGUUGUUCUUUUAAUCCUAAACAAUCUCUAAGCAAACACACGUGACAACGCCCAGUUUAAAUUGGAACAGCAAUUGUUAGUUCUACAUACUGAAUGUGCUUUCUAUUGCCUUUAGAUGAUUCAAGUUCAAAAAGAUUGGAAUGACACAUGAGUAAUAUAUAUGCAAUCUUUGGCUUCACAGACAUUAUAACCGUUAGGCUGAACAGAUUUAAAUCGUCCUGUACAAAAUCUACCUAAAAUGUGGGAAAAAAGAAUCUAAGACUGACUGUAUUUUAAUUUAACAUCAUUGUUUGUAGGUGCUAGCCAUGAGAUUUAAUAUCAGCUGUAUUAACUGUUCAUUUUGAAAUGGUUAGGUAUUGUAUUUUAUAGUCACCACACUCAUGAUUCCUUAUUACUUAUCCUAUGAGUAAGGUAUUAGUCUAAUUUAUUGCUAUUUAGACAGAACCAUCCUGGAGACUUGGACUUGCAUUUGGUGACUUAUGAACGUCUGAGAGUCAUAGCUGCGUUGUGAUCAGGAUUUAUUUCCUCAAAUGUAUUGAUGCCCUGUGCGACCAAACCCUUCUUAACUAGUAUGACCCAGCACAUAGCUCAUAUUCUGGUGAGCAGUAAAGAAAGACAGCUGGCAUUACAACAUUCCUCUGUGGAAACACACAAACACUCACACAUACAUGCAUGCAGGCAAUGUGCACACAUCUCCCCGGCAACUGUCGAGGGCUACUCUCCUCUCUCUUGUUCUGCCUCCUAUAAUAUAUUUCCAGGCUGUUGUGUCUGCACCCACAGGAAUCAUGUAAUAACAGCUUGUCAAGGCUUUUUGUGCCGGGAAACAUUUGCAUAUUCAAAUGUGUUGAGGAGUGAAGCUGAUUUUCAAAUGUGCAUAUUCACAUAGUGGGUUUGUAUUCAUGUUCUGCACAGCUAAUGGACGCAUCAGUCUAAAUGUUUUCAGCUUUUUUCUGAUUUUCACAAUAAAAUAAAACGGGAGAAAAGAGCUUGCCUGAAUUUGUGUUCCUCACCUGCAUAUUUAUGCUUGUGUUUGUGCAUGUCUGAAUUCCCUCAUACCCAUGCACAAAUACAGUUCUGAUUUACAGCCCGUUUAUUCCCUGCCAAGAGACACUAUCAGCCUACAAAUAAAAGAUAAUGGAGGCCAAGUAAACACUGGGUGCACUGAGAUCAUUCCAACUCCGCAGCUUUAUCACAUCCACACACACAGAUGUAGAGAUUUCCUUUAAGGGCUUCUCAAAUCACACCAAAAACAUAUUUUACCACUUAGCCUCAGUGGUUUCCACUUGUACAGAUACUUCUACUUUUAUUUGCAGUUUAAGGUUUUCAGAUAACCGUCUCUGAGACUUGUGCCACUUCCCCAUACAAUGGAGCUGAAUGGGAUUUUAUUUGCAUUCAAAUCAUUCAACAUGAUGUUUAAAACUCAAUGUUUUCUCUUUUCAGAGACAAUGUUCCAUUCACUCAGAAUAAUCUACAGACCUUGCUAAAGAACUUUAUCAGAAUAAAUGGGAUAUCACUCCUGGAAUCACAAGCUACUGUUUAGUAUCUCUCCAACAAGUGCUCACAGUUAAAGGACAAGAUAGUCAUUUAUCAGUCACAUCACUUAUUAUUGCUCUAAAAACACUUCAUAUGCAGCACAGUCUCCCACCAAAGCAUGUAAUAGACCCGCUGAUCCACUAGAGGAUACCAUGUUAGCUUUGCGUAGACAUGAAAAGUAUACAUGUGUAUAAAGAUAUAAAAAUAUAAAAAGUGACAGUCUGCAUAGGGAGGAGGUCAACAAACAGGAUCUUUCAUCCAGGAGACCACUGUUCAGAUCCCUUAUGAAACCAAAAGUCACUGUUGAUUUUUCCGAGAUGUAACUUACAAUCUUUUCCUAAAGCUAACCAAGUACCUUUUGGCACCUAAACUGAACCUCAGCACACUUUAUGAAAGUGUAACCGAACGUUGCAUAUUUGUUUCUGCUAACUAAUAAUUUUCUGUUCAUCCAAUGCAGUGACUGACGUUAGCUGUAACUGUUAGCUAGUUACACAUCUUUUUUUUUAUAUAUCUUUUCAUAUCAUAAAGCUUCUGUAUAAUCUUAAUUGUUUUGUUGAAAAUGUUUCGUUUUCCAUUGAGUUUGUAUGCAAUCAUGCUGCCUCUAAAAUUAUCUUUAACCUGAACACACCAUUAGAGGUUUUGCGCCUGUAUAACUAGUUCUGACUUUGCUAUGUAGGCAGUCACACAGUGGUGUGUUCGUGAACACAGGUUGUUUGAAGCACAGUAUGUAUGUAUUUUUGGUUGUUUUUUUAUGGUUUAUGUCAGUCAACAGGGUUUCACCAUGACAAUACUCCCAUCAACAAAGCCAGGUCCCUACAGUGAUGGUUUUCCAACCUCUUUCCCCUUGUGGCUGACGGAGAGUUAAUCCCCACAAGCCAGGUCCCAAAAUCUGAAACCAGAAGAGUGGAUGCUGUAAACGGAAAAUGAGAUGUUCACUGACUCACAUAGGUCUAAUGUUUGCGUAUCAACACAGUGUGUCUGUGUAACUCUGGUCAACCGGCUGCUUCAGAGAAUUAGUUAUAGCCUGUCAGGUCUUUGGAAGCUGCUUUAAAUGGACUUGUCAAUGAGAAAACACAUAAACAUUUAUAUUGCUUAAGGCUGAAAUAUGGGAUGCAAUGAGCCUUUCAUAAACCCAAUUGCUCUCCUAGUGUUGAGUCAUCACACACAUUAAUGACAAUUUCAAUACCUUCAUUAGCACAAGUACACGCACACACAGACGCACACGCAGACACACAUAAUGACAAUGUGUGCAUUUGCAGCAGUUCUUAUAUUUCUAACCUAAUUGUAAUGGGGGAUGUGACUCGUGGCUGUUUAGAACUAUUGACUGGAGCUAAAGACACACUGUUUGUUUAAGUCAUCAUUAACACAACCUUCAAUAAGGGUCACUGGCCGCAAGUGUAACACUGAUUAGUGUGUGUGUGUGUGUGUGUGUGUGUGUGUGUAGAAUGUGCUUGAGUAACAGUAAAAUGAGUAUAUUUCUCUGUGUGAAAAAGACUGUAAGUCUGUAAUACAAAUACAUUUUAAAAUAUUUCCAUGUCAAACAAGGUUUUUAUAUAACUUUUGAUAAAGGAAGGAUUGGAUGGAUAAACAGUUGCGACAGACAUGACCGGAUACUUCAGCAAAUCAAACCUCAUCCCCAUCCGUCAUCUUCAACUCUAUACGUGACUGAUUGGUGACUUUGGCGUUAAAAUAAACAUCUUUAUGUUUGGAUUUUAAAUGCACUGUAAUGCAAGUAUAAAAUAGCUAUUUGAAUGGUACAUCUGUCCAAUGAGGGUUGGAAGGGUUGAUGUUGAUGUCUUGAGUGAAGCAGAAGGUCAGUCAUCUGUGGUACAGCCUGCUUAUUUUAAUACGUAUACUGUAUUAGAAUGGGAUAAUGUCUUGUUGUAUAUGAUGGAUGGGAUGCAGUGUAUCGGAUUACAUGUAUAGGCUACUGCAAAACUGAUCAAUACUUGAGUGGGUUUACAUGGAAGACCUUGACCUGAAAUUGAUCGAGGGACCUUUUUAUCAGGUUCCACUCGCAAAGCAUUAAUGUUUAAUCAUUUUUAAAAUCUGGAGACAAUACUAGGUACAUUGCAGAACUUUAUUGUGUAAAAAUGGUACAGAAAUCCUCAUAAUGUCUGUAUUUUGUGUUUGUUAUUCAAACAGGUGUUGUCCUCAUCUUUGACAGCUGUCUACCAAAAAUGUUUGCCGAAAACACUGGUGUAGCAAAUCCAGAAAGCCUCCUCAUGUUGUAAUUGUGAAGAAAAAAUAUCGCUAUAGUUGCAUAUAUUUAUCUAAAUCUGAACGACUUGCCGUUACGGUGCAUGCAAUUAAACUUGAAGCUCUUUGGUUGGAUGUUUCACACCAAAAGGCUUCUUUUACAUCCUUUAUUUCAGUUUUUAUGUACAAAUCCUCGUACUAGUGAUGCUACAUCCGUGAACAAUUUGAUUAUUUUCAACAGACCUUACCCUAUCAUUAUCCUAGUGAGUAUUUCGAAGAUAAACUUAGAGCCCAAGAAACAUGAACAAGCCAUUCUUUUGAGCGGCUUUUGAAAAGGAACAGAGCCAUGGGAUCCCUCUCCCUUCAAAGCUCUAAUUCCCACCGCUGCCUUGUACCUUUGACUUUUUAUCGGGAGAGCCACACAUAUUUUAACACAUUUGUUCAUCUUUUUUGCGGAUGAUUCAACCAGGAGAGUUACAUGUUCAACUAUCUUUGUCUAUGUACAAAAUGAAUUGGACUUCAGGAACCCAGGACGCCUGAAAUAACUCCUCCUCCGUUGUCACCACAGACAGGAUUAUUGAUGGCCUCCUAUUCUCUGUGGCCGGGCAGACAGGAAACAGAGACCCCUGCAAAGAGUGAAACAGCAUCACAACCCCUCAGGCAGGUGACCAGGUGAGUGACUCUAUAUGUGUGUGUGUGUGUGUGUGUGUGUGUGUGUGUGUGUGUGUGUGUGUGUGUGUGUACAUGAUGGGAUUUGUGCCCCGGUUGGAGUUAUGGUGGUUGCACUGACAGAGGCAAAAAGGUAAAAGGGGAAAAAGAGGAAAAGGAGGAAAAGAAUUCAUUUUCUCCAGUAGGAUGAGAGAGUUGUGUGUGUGUGUGUGUGUGUGUGUGUGUGUGUGUGUGUGUGUGUGUGUGUGGAGUAACAGUGGACUCCUGCUACCUCCAGCCCCACAGGCCUCUCAGAAUAAAUGGAUUUUCUUUUUCUAUUCUAGGACGCACUGGACCUUAUUUCCUUCUCAUUCUCCUCUCUCUUUCAAUCUCUGUCUCCAUCUCUUUUCUCCCCAAGCUACAAGACCAUGCUCACAGAUGUUUUAACCCUCAGCUCUAUUAUCUCGUAGAGUACCAUUAAUAGACUUUAAUUUAAUUGAAUAAUACUUUAUUACAGUAGACUAUAAAAAGGAGCUGAACCAAUCAAAUCAAGGCAGAUGUCCCACUGGUGCUAUAAGUAAAGAUAAGGGGGAUCAACAAAACGCAUCUGUAUCGUUGCUAUGGUUACCAGCUGGUUAAUACAUUUUACACACUGAUUCAGAGCAGGUUAAACUGAUGACUAUGCUUACUGUAAGAUGUUCCAGUAUGCAGUUUUAACAGACACCCAAUCAGAAGCAGUGAGUCCUCUAUUGUUUUCAUGUUUCGACUAUUUUUUUCAGCAGUAGGGGGGAAGGGGUUUUGUUGUACAUGUGGCAUUCGAGAAAAUAUGGUCUGCAAUGGUGAUUUUGUUCAAGCUAAAUACUAACUAGUCAAUCUGCCUCCAAAGAAGGAGUGAGAGCCGCUUCCCAGUGACAGACUCUCGUUCAGCAGCACAGUCCACUCUCUGAGCCGAGGAACCAGUGAGAGGAAAAACAGCUGUAGAGCCAGAAUACUUUCACAUCUAUGUCAGUCAAUUAAGGGAUUACUGGACAUAUUUUCUGUGACUCCACAUGGCCCCCUAAUGUUAAUGAAAUACUUUGUAACCCAAACCAAGAUGUAUAAGCUUGACCAAGCAGUUAUUUUAGUACUCUUUCCCUAAACGAGCCGUGUUUGUGCCUGAACCUGGCCAAACCUUAACCAGCACUGUGAGAUCAAGAGACUGACAAACAAUCCUGUCAAUAGGUACAUUGGGUCAAAAAAAGUUAUAAUUUUAUAUUUUAUGUAAUUAUAAACAGCGUGUUUGUCGUUUAAAUUGGAGGACUUGUCGGUUCCAAGAUGGCGCCCCAUUCAUUCUAUUAAAAGUUGUUAAAGUUAUUCAACAUUUGUGGGGCCAUAGCACCUAGACUUUAGAGUUCUCUGAACAAAUGAACGUCACAAAAUACAGCUCUUCAGCAUGUAUCACCAGCAUUAUCAGAAUGUGUGUGACGUUAAACCUGCUUCUUUUGUUGUGUGUCUGUAGUGCAUGUUUUUUCUGGAACAUCAGGUGAACUGAUUUGGACUUUUGGCUGUUACACCUAGACCAGACUAGCACUGCUGUGCUUUACUACUAAUUAGUCUUAAAGGGACAUUGUGUAGUGUUUUAAGUAUUUUAUUAGCUAAAAUCAAUGUCUUCAUUCAUAAAUGUGGUGUAAAAUUACCUCUGCCAAUGAUCUGACUUAUCCUCAUAAGCGAAGAAUUUCUUAUCUGUAUAUACAUUGGACGGGCAAGUCCAUGGAGGCUUCCAUGUCGUUCCGCCAUUUUGAAAAACUAUAAUCGCUGAGAGGGACAUAAAGCACUAGCCUACCUGUCUAGCUAAUCCACAACGCGUUUUCGUUCAGAGCCAGCGUCACAUGACUGAAACUAACUAUAACGGAGAAGGAGAUCAGUGAGAGGUGCUUGUCACUGCCCCGGCACAGUUGAAAGUCUGCACUGCACUUUAGUUAAUAAUGGAGGAUCAUACUUAUGCCGAGCCACAGGAGAAGGAAUCCUCGUCGCCAAAAAAGCGAAAAAGGGAAUUAAAAAGGCAACGUGACCGGCGAAUUCAAAAAACGAGGGUAAACAUGGGGGUAGCUUUUCCCAGGUGGAAAGAGCUAAUGAAGGAGAAAGACUUUCAAAGGGACGCUGAAGUUUUCUGCUUUCUCCUCGACAGGUAGGCUUCUUGGUACAUAACGGCUACCGUAGUUGCAAUACGCAUUUGAAAACGCGAGGCACUAGAGAGCACUAUUCGUUUGAAUGCAAAAUACAAUUUCACUGCUAGAUGGGAGAAAUUCCUACACAAUGUCUCUUUAAAACUAGUGCCUGAAAUGGGCCAGUACUCGCCAGUACUGAGCGCUGGUGAUUUUUGUCCACAUGCAUUCUCCCACUUCCUGAUGGGUCUAUGCACCCCUAAACACCUGUAACACUUGAUUACUUUUCCCGUCAUUCUGCGUAGACCCGCCCUACUCUGCCUCUGAUUGGCUAGUUAGUUUGUUUGGUUCGGUUUAGGCAUGAGGAUUGAGAUGGUUAGGGUUGAAAAACAGUCAGGGUCAGAGCGAAACAGAGGCAGGACGGAAUAUGGGUGCGGGGACAAUCCACCCUGAACCUAAGCUUUAGAAGUGGACUCACCAGAAAGUGGCAGAGCAAACGUCUUUCAUAUGUUGCUGCAUUUACAGGCAGAAACACUGCCUAACACUAUAUUACUAGCAGUAAAGCUAGCAAGCUAACUAGCUUAUCUAAGUAAAGCAGUAUAAACAGUGCAGAAUAUACAGUUACAAAAUGUAUCCAACCUGAAAGGAAACCGAUCCACAGGGUGGACUCUGGACACCCCUCAGAUGUCACCAGUGUUAAGGCACUUUGCUUUUACAGGCAAUGUCAGUCAAAACAAAAAUACUGUUGAAUUUUAUUUUGAAAACUUGUCAUCAGCUAGUGAACUGCUGAGUCCUUCAAACUCACUGAAAAAUAUUGAAUGGUGCAUGAAAAACAGGAUUCAUGUUCAGCAAGAAAUCUAAUAAACCUUAAAGCACAAUUUGUCUGAUUUUCCACCAACUCCAGAUUGGUUAAAUGUUAUUUGAGAAGCCCACACAUCUCCUCAUAUUGAAGUCCCCAAUGUUGCUUAUAUUCUCCAGCUUACUUUACCUAAACAGGAUUAGCUUUUGUGUUUUAUUGCUGGUUUCUGCCUUUGUUCUUGUUGGAAUGACGUCUCCACACUUGAUCAGCAUAACCUCCUGCCACGAGCUGUUUAGUUGAAUUCACUGGAAAAGGUGUGUAUAUUGCAGCUUUACAUCAAGUAGUGCUCUUUCUUGUUUAAAUAAUGGUCCGAUUAAAGGUCUUUUUGCUAACACAAA